rnacentral:lncRNA from 1 species
CCUGGGCGACAAGAGCAAAACUCCGUCUGAAAAAAAAAAAAAAAAAAAAAGAAGUGUCCAGCAAAACUGUUACUGGUGGAAGGUAUCCGAGUUACCGUUGGUGAAUCCGUCUGGAUCUGCAGCAACCUCUUGCCUCCUCAGAAGAAAGAGUUUGACUGAGGGGUAUAAGGCAGAAGGAGAGACUGAGGUAAAUAAAAGCUGAGAAUGAGCCAAAGAAACUCCCGAAGGAUGUACCUCAAGAAGGAAGAUGAUUCCAGGCAAAGGAGGGGGCACUGUUUCUAAGAAGAGUGAUGAUACCACCGUAUUUUUGAAAAAUGAUGAAACAGCGUGGGGGAAACUGCUAUGUCUUCCAUAUUCAGGCUUUUUCUUCUCCAAGCCCAUUUCCUCCCUAGCAAUGAUAAGAGGAAACACUCCCGGUGAGUCAGAUGCUCUCUAAAUAUUUUUGCUCAUUGAAUGUUGACACCAGCCCUGUGUUUAGUAUCAUACUGGGAACACGCAUGAGGAGCUGAAGCACAGACAGGUUAAGUGGCUCGCCCAGGGUCAUACAGCUACUCAGUGCUGGAGCCGAGAUCACACCAGGCUCUGCUUCCCCACCAGAACCAUGAGAGGUUGGGAGUGACCCUACUGGACAGGGAUAUCUGAGGUGGGAGGGGCUGUGUGUGUGUUCAUGCUGAGGCCGGCAUGCUUAGAACAUCAACCUCAAUUUUCCUCCCCACAGGGUCUGGCGGGGAGGCAGGGAGCAAGGUCGUUAAGGGUGGGCAGGGUGAGGGGGAGAUUCCCUGACAGCCUGGGUUCUGCCCCUCACUUGCUACAGCCCCAUGCAAGCCUCUUGGCCUCUCUGAGGCUCUGUAUUCUCACCUGUCAAAUGGGGGUUGUCCUGGGUGUUACUUCAAAGGCUGAUGAGAAAGGAGUGAGUGGGCUGGCUCGCAGCCUGGCGUGACAAGCAAUGCAUAAAUGUAUGCCGUAUGAGUCACCUGUCCACAGUGGCCCCAGCAGCUCUCUCUAGCAGGGCUUGGCCAAGACUAGGCCCUCAGAGUGUAAGAAAACUCCUGGUUUGGUGCCUAGCACACUAUAGAUGUGGCAAACUGUGUCCAAGAACGUUUUGAUGGGAGCCUGCCUGGAUGACAGAAGAUCAGAGUGUGCUGGAAUGUCCCACCCUUUCCAGCUUCCCGCAGCCAAGCCAGGCUCUGGGGUGAUCAUUCCCAUAGCAACCACCAGGGGUCAGGGCUGGCCACUUCUGCCUUCUUCCCUCAUCCUAGCGCCUGUGGGUGGCGAUGACAUCCCUGCCAUCUAUGAGGUGGAGCAUUUCCAACAAGAGCAGGUCUGAGGCCCUGGCUUGACUUUCCCAGUCCUGUUAAAGAAGAACAUUGGGAUACCCAACUGUUCUAGCACCAUUUAUUGAAAAGUCAACUCUUCCUUCAAUAUUCAGAAAUGUCACCUCUGUCAUAAACCAGGCAGCCACAUGUGUAUUAGACUGCUGUGUCUUCGUUAUUUCUCCAGAGGUUUGCCAAUUUUACUAAUCUCUUCAAAGAUCCAAUUUUGAUUUUUGUUCAUUUUCUUAAUUGUAUGCUUACUAUUUUAUUAGCUUGUGCUUUGGUCUUCCGUAUACUUUUUUUGGGGGGGGGUUGAAUUUACUAUUCUUUUUCUAAGCUCUUUGAAAUGGAUGAUUAGCUCAUUAAUUUUAAGUCUUUACUCUUUUCUAUUAUAUGCUAUAUAUUUUCCUGUAAGUAUUAACUUUAGAAAAAUUUCCUACCAGCUUUGAUAUAUAUGAUAUUUUCAUUAUUAUUCACUUCAAAAUGUUUUUAGUUUUUAAUUGUAACUUCUCUGUGAUAUAAAGAAGUAUGACUUUAAAUUUUCCACAUUAUGGGGAUUUCCUAGUUUUUUUUUUAUUGAUUUUAGCUUAAUUAUAUUGUGGUCAGAUCAACAUUACAUGAAUUAGAAAUUUAUCAAGAUUUGUUUUAGGCUCAGAAUAUGAGCCAAAUUUGUAAAUGUUCUGCUUGAAACAUGUAUCUUACAACAAUUGUGUGCAGUAUUCUACAUAUGCUCAUUAAGUCUAGUUUAUUAACAGAGUUCUUCAAAUCUUUUAUACCCUUUUGUCUCGUUUUUAAAAUUAAACUGAAAACGGUGUCUUAAAAUCUUCUAUUAUGGCUGUUGAUUCUUCCAUAGUCCUAUUAAGUUUUGCUUAUAUAUUUUGAGAUUAUGUUGUAGGCACAAAUUUAAUAUUGUUAUGUCUUCCUAGGAACUUUUGCUAUCUUUUCCUCUGGUUUUUGCCUUAAAGUUUAUUUUGUCUUUCAUGAAUAUAAAUACUUACAUCUGCCUUUGUGUGUGUGUGUGUGUGUGUGUGUGUGUUUGUUAGAUUCAGGGAGUACAUGUACUUGUUUGCUACAUGGGUAUUACACGUGUAAUGGUGCAAUUGGGCCUCUGGUAUACCCAUCAUUCAAAUAUUGGACACUGUACCCCAUAGGUGAUUUUUCAACUUUCUCUUCACUAGUAUUUUUACCUUAUUACUUUAAACUUUAUUCUUAUGCUUUAAAUGUAUCUCUUCUUUUGUAAACACCAUAAUUCCCCUCCCCCCAUUCCAAAUCAAGUCUGAAAUUCUUUGCCUUUUAACAGGAGCAUUUAGUUCAUUUACAUUUAAUGUAUAUGUAAAUGUAAAUACAGUGUAUACUUUGUAAAUGUUUAGAAUUAAAUCUAUUACUUUAGCUUAUCUGCUUAUUCAUUCUAUUCUUUUUCUCUUCUGUCUGGACUUAAAAAAUGAUCUGCAUAUAUUUUAUCAUUUAAUUUUGUCCCUUAGCUUGUUUGAAAUGACAUACUGUUUCUAUUCCUUUAGUGCAGGGAUUAGAGACCUUUUCUCUGUAAAGGGCCAGAUAAUAUAUAUUUUAUGGUUUGUGGACCACAGUCAGUGGGUUUUUUUAGGGUCUGUGGGCCGAAGUCAGAUUUUUUAUAGCCAUUUAAAAAUCUAGAAACCAUCCUUAGCUUGCAGGCUAUAUAAAAACAGGCUGAAAUCUGUAUUUAGCCCAUGGGCCAUAGUGUGUAACCUCUUCUAGUGUUCACUCUAGAAAUUAUAACAUGCACACUUAACUUAUCAAAGCCUACAAUUAAUGAAAACCUUUACCCCUCUGGACAACACAUUGAUAUUAGAACAUUUUGAGUCUAUUGCCUUCCUAACCCCAAUUCCUAUGUUAUGUUGUCUGGUAUUUACAUUU